AGUCCCAGCUCUCAGCCAGCUCCCCAUCUCGGUGGGACUGGGAUCCCUGGUGCCUGUGUUACCCUUUUGUGCCCACCUGCACGAGGCUUUUGGCUGGGCACCGGCUGGGAACCCCCUGGCUCAAUGCCCCAGCCCUGCUCCCUUCCCCUCCCAGUCCCAGCCAUGCCAGGCUCAGCCCACAGCCACCAACACCCUUCAAACAUCUCUUGGUGGGAUCCAGGAGAGUCUGAAGGGUCCCUCCACUCCUGGGCAGUUUCAUCUGAGGCUGAAAUGGGCUCAGGAUUUUCCUAUGAAGGCGCUGGGAUUAAAUUAAAGAGGAUUUAAGCAGA